rnacentral:lncRNA from 1 species
UUUCUCACAUAUAUAACAAGAUGCUAAGAUGUAUUCUCUAGGAUUCAAAGGAAAAGUUCUAGAUCCUUUAAAAUGUGCUCAGGUGGUUUCUUUUAUAAUGGAGCCUUAGGGCAUCAGCUUUUCUCUUGUUUUUCUUUUGGUCCUUGCUUCAGUUUUGCACUUUUCCUAAAUAGUCCUUCAUUUCCUGACUUGUGCCUCAAGUUUGAGGCAGAAAUUGUGUUUUAGUCCCCUUACUAUAAUGUUCUAGGGAUUAUUAUCAGAUUUUUUAAGGUUCAAAUCCCUCUUAUAACCCUACUUCCUUUCCUAAACUACCCACCUGAAGUUUUUAACCUCAACUAUUCCUUGACCCUAGUUUAGUUACAAUUGACCCAGGUCAAUCAAGUUUGGGUCACAUUUCAAUCUUGGACUAACAGGCUUAUGAAAGUUCAAAUCAGCCAAAACUACCAGGUUUUAAAACAAGUGCCUUAAUGUAGACUUUCAGCACACAAAACUUAUUCUGGAUUAUCAAAACAAAGGAUCAAAAUAAUCAAAAGAAUGAAUAUAUCUAUUAACACUUAACUAUUCAGAAAUAGCUCAAUCAAAGUAUUCAGCAAUACUUGAAAAUGAAAAGCACAUAGCAAGGAGUGAACACUUAGUUCAUGAAAAAAAAUUAGGAAGCACGUAAGGAUUCAGCAAGAAAGAACAACUUAAUUAUGCAUAAGUACUGAAGACCAAAGAUAUUGUGAAAUAAGAAUUAGGCACUCAGUAGCAUAAACAAAUAACCAAACCAAUCAGAAUAUCAGUGAGUAAAACAAAUGAAGAUCAUGAGAUGAAGUUCAACAAAUUAUAAGAAUCACACUGCUCAAAAGUUAAUAUUAACAGGAUGUCAAACCAGACGAAGAGAUUUCUAGACCAGCGACAAACAAAGGCAUGUGAAUAUUUGGACCUAUUUCAGACGAUAUUGUGGACAAACAAACAAACAGCCAAAAGAAAUCAAAACGAAGGGACUUCAAACUAAUGGGCAUAUAUCUACUGAACCUAUUUCAUUACGAAAUUGUAUAAAACAAACAGGAAAUCAAAACAAUUAAUCAAAGAUGAAGCAAAUAUAUACAAGCAAGGGCAGAAUACUUAGCUUUUUUUUUAAUGCAAAAUCCUCUUGGGACCAUUCCGUUGGUUCCUGACUUUUGUAGAGGUUUUG